GCCCUGGUGGCACAAAGGUUAAGUGCUCAGCUGCUAACUGAAAGAUUGUGGUUGAAUCCACCCAGUGGCU
rnacentral:tRNA from 1 species